UGGUUUUGGGUUCUUAUCCCAUUUAAGACCAAAUAUUAACAAGUCUUUCUUCUCACUUUUAAACAUUCUUCAUGCAUCUCUAGCACUUGUAAUCAAUCAAAUUCAUUGUAUUAUAACAUAUUCUAACCCAAAAUAACUUUAUACAAGCCAUUCACUGCCUCAAAGCAAUGGUUUUGGGUUCUUAUCCCAUUUGUGACCAAAUAUCAACAACUCUUUGUUCUCACUUUUAAACAUUCUUCAUGCAUCUCUANNNNNNNNNNNNNNNNNNNNNNNNNNNNNNNNNNNNNNNNNNNNNNNNNNNNNNNNNNNNNNNNNNNNNNNNNNNNNNNNNNNNNNNNNNNNNNNNNNNNUAAUCAAAUUCAUUGUAUUAUAACAUAUUCUAACUACAAAAUAACUUUAUACAAGCCAUUCACUGCCUCAAAGCAAUGGUUUUGGGUUCUUAUUCCCAUUUGGGACCAAAUAUCAACAAGCCUUUCUUCUCAGUUUUAAACAUUCUUCAUGCAUCUCUAGCACUUGUAAUCAAUCAAAUUCAUAGUAUUAUAACAUAUUCUAACCCAAAAUAACUUUAUACCAGCCAUUCACUGCAUCAAAGCUAUGGUUUUGGGUUCUUAUCCCAUUUAAGACCAAAUAUCAACAAGUCUUUCUUCUCACUUUUAAACAUUCUUCAUGCAUCUCUAGCACUUGUAAUCAAUCAAAUUCAUAGUAUUAUAACAUAUUCUAACCCAAAAUAACUUUAUACAAGCCAUUCACUGCCUCAAAGCAAUGGUUUUGGGUUCUUAUCCCAUUUGUGACCAAAUAUCAACAACUCUUUGUUCUCACUUUUAAACAUUCUUCAUGCAUCUCUAGCACUUGUAAUCAAUCAAAUUCAUAGUAUUAUAACAUAUUCUAACCCAAAAUAACUUUAUACAAGCCAUUCUCUGCCUCAAAGCUAUGGUUUUGGGUUCUUAUCCCAUUUGGGACCAAAUAUACACAAGUCUUUCUUCUCACUUUUAAACAUUCUUCAUGCAUUUCAGGCACUUGUAAUCAAUCAAAUUCAUAGUAUUAUAACAUAUUCUAACCCAAAAUAACUUUAUACAAGCCAUUCANNNNNNNNNNNNNNNNNNNNNNNNNNNNNNNNNNNNNNNNNNNNNNNNNNNNNNNNNNNNNNNNNNNNNNNNNNNNNNNNNNNNNNNNNNNNNNNNNNNNAUGGUUUUGGGUUCUUAUUGUAAGAUUGAAUAGAGCUCGAUGCCCUAGAUAUCUUAUUGACAAGAAUAUAUAUAGAGGUUACAUAGUGUAACGUACGAGAACGUGUACGAGAGUAUUCACACUUGAUACUAUAACUAAUAUAAGAAAUAAUAUAUUUACAUAUAUCUUGUCUAACACGCCCCUGCAGUCGCAUCGGGAGGCUUCUGGACGUUGAGACUGGUCCUGAAAUCAGAGAAAAGUUGUGUUGGAAGCCCUUUGGUGAAUAUGUCAGCAUAUUGGAGGCUUGUGGGAACAUGGAGUACACGAACUUGACCAAGUGCUACACGUUCCCGAACAAAGUGAAUAUCAAUCUCGACAUGCUUUGUUCGUUGAUGCUUGACAGGAUUUGAGGAUAAGUACACGGCACUGAUGUUAUCACAAUAAACGAUAGUAGCUUUGGACAGCGGGCAUUUCAUCUCAAGGAGUAAAUUUCGAAGCCAUGUUGCUUCAGCCACAGCAUUGGCUACACCGCGAUAUUCAGCUUCUGCACUCGAACGGGAGACUGUGACUUGUCGUUUAGAGGACCAAGAAACAAGGCUAUCACCAAGAAAAAUACCGUAACCAGAUGUAGAACGUCGUGUAGAAGGGCACCCGGCCCAAUCAGCAUCUGUGUAAGCGGUAAGUUGAUGGAUGGAGGAUUUGUGAAUUUGCAGUCCGUGAGAGAUGGUACCUUUGAUGUAGCGAAGAAUGCGUUUAAGAGCUGUGAAAUGAGGCUCCCUAGGAUCAUGCAUAAAGAGACAUAUCUGUUGGACCGCAAAAGAAAUGUCUGGGCGAGUAAAGGUGAGAUAUUGGAGAGCACCAGCGAGACUACGAUACAAUGUGGGAUCAGAGACCGGUUUACCGUCGAAAGAGAGCUUGGACUUCAAGUCAACCGGAGUGGAGCAAGGAUUGCAGUUCGUCAUGUUGGCACGGUGAAGAAUGUCGGCCGCGUAGUUUUGUUGUUGUAGAAGCACGCCCGCCGCAGUACGAGUGACAGAAAUCCCAAGGAAGUAAUAUAGCCGACCAAGAUCAGUCAUGUCAAACUCAUUGUGUAGUGAGGCAAGGAUGGACCGAAAAAGAGUCGUGGUGGAAGCGGUGAGAACUAUGUCAUCAACAUAGAGCAGAAUGUAGGCAAGCUGAUUAUUGUGACAGUAGAUAAAGAGAGACGGGUCACUCACACUUUGAGUGAAGCCAAUUUUCUUGGCAAAAAUCGCAAAUCGCUUAUACCAGGCCCGUGGGGCUUGUUUGAGCCCAUAAAGAGACCGCUUGAGGAGGCACACAUGAUAUGGUUUGGUUUUGUCAACAAAACCGGGUGGUUGGUGCAUGUAGACAGUUUCUUCAAGGUCACCAUUUAAGAAUGCGUUUUUAACGUCUAGUUGAUGAAGUGGCCAAUCUUUUGCAACGGCAACGUGGAGAACUGAACGAAUAGUUGCUGGUUUGACAACGGGACUAAAAGUCUCAUCACAAUCGACUCCAAGUUGUUGAGAUUUGCCGUUCGCAACGAGACGCGCCUUGUACCUCACGAGUUGCCCAUCCGCAUUAAAUUUAUGCCUGAAAAGCCACAAAGAUCGAACAAUAUUAGUAGCAACUGGUCGCGGAACCAAGUCCCACGUUCCACUUUUAAUAAGAGCGCUAUGUUCAUCUCCCAUGGCAGCAUUCCAGUUAGGAUCCUUAGCGGCCUGUACGUGUGUCAAAGGAAGGGGAGACACAACAGACGUAUGGAGACAAAGGCGUUGUCGUGGUUUGACAAUGCCAUUUUUACUCCGAGUUACCAUUGGAUGCGUGGGUAAUGCUGGAGGAGGCGGAGGAGGGGCCUCGUUAGCUGGAAGAGGAGGUGAGGGCGGAAGGAUGUUUUCAGUAGCUGGCGGAGGAGACGGAGUUGAAAUAGAGAUAGGAGGAGGAGAAAUGAGAGAAGAGUGAGAAGAAGAAACUGAGGUAGGAGUAGGUUUAAGAAACGGAAAGGUGUUUUCAUCGAAAUAAACAUGUCGUGAAAAAAUAAUUUUACGAGUGUUUAAGUCAAAACAACGAUACCCGCGAUGAUCAGUAGGGUAUCCGAGGAAAACACAUGACGUUGAUCGAGGAGCAAGUUUGUGCGGAGAUUGAGGAAGAAGGUUAGGAUAACACAAACAGCCAAAAACGCGAAGAUGAUUGUAUUGUGCAGGUUUGUGAAAAAGUUUGGUGAAUGGGGAGGCAUUGGAGAUGGAUGACGAUGGAAGAAUGUUGAGAAGAUGAGCAGCUGUAUGAAGGGCCUCCACCCAAAAUUCUGGUGGCAUAUGAGCUUGGAACAGAAUAGUGCGUACAAUGUUGUUGAGCGUACGUAGCAUUCGUUCUGCGCGACCAUUUUGCUGGGAGGUAUACGGACAUGAAAAACGGCAUUUUGUGCCUUCAGCUGCAAGAUAGGAUAGAAAUUGGCGAUUAUUGUAUUCACCACCGUUGUCACAUUGAAUAGAUUGAAUGGGGCAGCCAAAUUGAUUACGAACAAAGGCAGAGAAGUGAAUAUAUUUGCUUAGCGUUUCACUCUUGCGCCUGAGAGGGUAAACCCAAACAUAAUUAGAAAAUUGGUCAAGAAAAAUGACAUAGAAUUUUAUUCCUCCAAAACUCGGAACAGGAGAAGUCCAUAUAUCCGAGUGAAUAAUUUCAAAAGGUUUCGAAAGAAGAGAAGUAGAAGUAGAAAAUGGAAGGCGAACACUUUUGCCAAGUUGACACGCAUGACACAAGGUUGUCAUGUCAUUUUUAUUGAAAUCUAAAACCCCAGAAGAAGAAAGAGUUUGAAGAACAGAGCUCCCGGGAUGACCCAAGCGACGAUGCUAGAGAGUGCUAUUAGAAGAUGCGAUAAGAGCCUGCGGUGAUGUAGUAUUUUUAGGUGUAUUCACCGCAUAUAGAGGCCCUUGACUGUCACAUCGGAGAAGAGGCUUCUUGGUUUGAAGAUCCUUAACAAGAAAGCCAAAAGGGUCAAAUUCAAUAGAACAUUUGUUGUCCGUGACAAAACGACGCACAUACACCAAAUUUUUAAUGAUAGAUGGGCACACAAGAACAUUUUUAUGAAGGAGAGGACGAGUUGGGGAGGGAAUGAUACCAUUACCGAGCUUAGUAACGUUAGCAAAGGAUCCAUUACCAACUGUCACAGGAGGACAAGCGCUGGUAUUAAAAACAGAACGAAGGGUACCUGGAGUCGCAGUGAUAUGGUUCGUUGCGGCAGAGUCCAUGUACCACGAGCUAUUGUUCGGAUCUUGCAAUGCCAUUGGGUUGAAAGCAUGAGUAAUCUCGGACGGUAGAUACGGCGACACGGUUUGGAGCGAAGGAUAGGGAGACUGAAUCAUGUGAGCUUCAGCAGAAGAUCGUUGUUGUGGAGCAGGACCAAGGAUGCCAUUACUCGGAGGGAAAGCUGGCUGGCGGUGAUGAGCAUGAGGCAUCGGAAACGGCGACGAAAAUGGGGAGAAACCAUACGGCAGUGGCCAUUGUGAAGGUCCAUAUGGCCAUUGUGGUGGUCCGUAUGAUUGGUGUUGCCAAGACGUGUUGUUGUUGUGACGUCCCCUACCACGAUUGUGUUUGUUGCCUCUUCCACGAUUGUUGUAGCCUCGUCCUUGUUGAUUUUGAGUUUGGGAGUGUUGUUGAGCUGAGGCCGUGUAGAGAACUGUGGGAGUAGAGGAACUGUUGUUGUUGCUCGGUAGUGGCUUGCUUUGUUUGGCAAGACGAUCUUCCUCCAUGGUUAGCAUAGAACGUGCUGUUGCAAAAGUUGGAAACGGAGUCUUGUGUUUGAUGACGUUGAUGAUGUUGUCGUACUUGUCGGAGAGACCAUUGAGGAGAUGCAUAACAAGAACUCGAUCUGAGACAGGAGAGUCAAGAUUCGCAAGGAGAUCAGAGAGAGUUUUGAGUUUGAGACAGUAUUCAUGCACACUGAGAUCACCGAUCGAGGCUGUGCGUAGUUCAUGAUCACACUGCAAAGCACGAGCCUCCUUGUUGUCACGGAACAGGUUCUCGACGGUGAGCCAGAGGUCACGGGCGGUGCACUUGGCUGUCAUGACAGUGUCAAGGAGAGAUUCAGAAAGAGUUCCGUAGAUCCACAUCUUAACCAGCCCGUCACGCUCCUUCCAUGAUUGUUCAGUGUCAGGAGUAGACACGCCGGUUCCAUCGAUAUGGUUAAGGACGCCAAACGUUGUGCAGUGUGUUUCGAAUAACUCACGCCACACAUCGUAAUUGAACUUCUUCAGAUCAAGGACAAUAGGAAUGUAGGCCUUGAUUUGAGAGAUGGUGAACGGUUUGUCGGAAGUUCCAGUGGUGGGAGCAGCCAUCGAGUAAAAAAGAAGAAGAAGAAGAGAAAGAACAGAGGAUGAAGAAGCAGGAGAAGAAGAAGAAGAAGAAGAAGAAAAAAAAAUUUGAGAGAGAGAAGGUCAGAGGUCGAAGGAAAAGCCAACGGCGGCUGAUACCAUGUAAGAUUGAAUAGAGCUCGAUGCCCUAGAUAUCUUAUUGACAAGAAUAUAUAUAGAGGUUACAUAGUGUAACGUACGAGAACGUGUACGAGAGUAUUCACACUUGAUACUAUAACUAAUAUAAGAAAUAAUAUAUUUACAUAUAUCUUGUCUAACACUUAUCCCACUUGUGACCAAAUAUCAACAAGUCUUUCUUCUCACUUUUAAACAUUGUUCAUGCAUAUCUAGCACUUGUAAUCAAUCAAAUUCAUUGUAUUAUAACAUAUUCUACCCCAAAAUAACUUUAUACAAGCCAUUCACUGCCUCAAAGCUAUGGUUUUGGGUUCUUAUCCCAUUUUAGACCAAAUAUCAACAAGUCUUUCUUCUCACUUUUAAACAUUCUUCAUGCAUCUCUAGCACUUGUAAUCAAUCAAAUUCAUUGUAUUAUAACAUAUUCUAACACAAAAUAACUUUAUGCAAACCAUUCACUGCCACAAAGCAAUGGUUUUUGGUUAUUAUCCCAUUUGUGACCAAAUAUCAACAAGUCUUUCUUCUCACUUUUAAACAUUCUUCAUGCAUCUCUACCACUUGUAAUCAAUCAAAUUCAUUGUAUUAUAAUAUAUUCUAACCCAAAAUAACUUUAUACAAGCCAUUCACUGCCUCAAAGCAAUGGUUUUGGGUUCUUAUCCCAUUUGUGCCCAAAUAUCAACAAGUCUUUCUUCUCACUUUUAAAC
rnacentral:lncRNA from 1 species